rnacentral:rRNA from 1 species
UUCCGGUUGAUCCCGCCGGAGGCUACCGCUAUUGGAGUUCGAUUAAGCCAUGCGAGUCGCGAGUCUUAGGGACUCGGCGUACCGCUCAGUAACACGUGGGUAACCUGCCCUAUGCUGGGGGAUAACCUCGGGAAACUGAGAAUAAUACCCCAUAGUUCACCACGCCUGGAACGGUGGGUGGAUCAAAGCUCCGGCGGCAUAGGAUGGGCCUGCGGCGUAUCAGGUUGUAGGGGGUGUAAUGUACCCUCUAGCCCUCUACGCGUACGGGUGUUGAGAGACAUCGCCCGGAGAUGGAUUCUGAGACACGAAUCCAGACCCUACGGGGUGCAGCAGGCGCGAAAACUUGGCAAUGCGAGCAAUCGUGACCAGGGAACUCCAAGUGGCUGGGGUAAUACCCAGUUUUUUCUUGACUCUUCAAAGGUCUUGGAAUAAGGGGUGGGUAAGGACGGUGCCAGCCGCCGCGGUAAUACCGGCGCCUCAAGUGGUAGUCGCUUUUAUUGGGCCUAAAACGUCCGUAGCCGGUCUGGUACAUUCGUGGGUAAAUCAACCCGCUCAACGGGUUGAAUUCUGCGAGCACGGCCAGACUUGGGACCGGGAGAGGUGUGGGGUACUCUCAGGGUAGGGGUAAAAUCCUGUCAUCCUGAGAGGACCACCUGUUGCGAAGGCGCCACACUAGAACGGAUCCGACGGUCAGGGACGAAGCCUAGGGGCACGAACCGGAUUAGAUACCCGGGUAGUCCUAGGUGUAAACGCUGUGGACUUGAUGUUGGGAGUGCUCCGAGCACCCUCAGUGUCGAAGCGAAGGUGAUAAGUCCACUGCCUGGGGAGUACGGUCGCAAGGCUGAAACUUAAAGGAAUUGGCGGGGGAGCACCGCAACCUGAGGAUUGUGCGGUUUAAUUGGAGUCAACGCCGG